rnacentral:lncRNA from 1 species
AUACAAAAAAAAAAAAAAUGUUUUAGUUUUUUUCAAAUUACAACACCCCUUUUAUAAAAACAUAAACAAGCAUAAACAGAUGAAUAUUUACUUUUUAUGUUUUUCUUUUUUUCCCCUUUUUUGUUUCCUUUCUUAAUUUUUUUUUUUUUUUUUUUUUUUUUUGUACCGAACAAGUUUAAUUAAGAAAAGAAAAGCAAUUCAUUUAGUAAAGUGAGUAGAAAAUAAAAAUAUAUUCAACUGAUGGAAAACUCUAACAGAAAAACAAAAAAAAAAAAAAAAAAAAACCAUUAAGGUAAUAGUUUAAAUAUAUUUUUUUUUAAUUUAGCUAAUAUGGAGAAAGAAAGUGAUAACAAAUUAUAUAAUGAGAAAAAUAGAAACAUGUUGAAUAAAAGUGAUGACAUAAGUAGUGACAUGAGUACAGACAGAUGUAUUAAUAAGAGUGAAAGCAGAGUUAGUGGCAAAAACGACGACAUCAGUAACCAUAAGGAAAAUAAUAAUAACAGUGUAGAGAGUAGUAGUAGCUCAUUAAAUAUAUUAUUUUAUGAUAAUUAUUUUAAAAACUUAUUUAAUUUAUCUGAUUUUAAUAAUUAUUUGUUUAAAGAUAAUAAUGGAAAUACUAAUGACGACAUUGUUGGUAAUAAUAAUAAUAAUAAUAAUAAUAAUAAUAACAUUGUUGGUAAUGGUUUUUACAAGGACAAGUACUUAAAUGUACGAAAUAAGAAAAAUGUAAAAAAACUAGUUAUAUAUAAUAAUAAACAUAUAAUUAAUCUAAUGAAUGACAUAAAUAAGAGUAAAAUAAAUAUAUGUAAUUUUAUUUCUUUUUAUUAUUUUUUUUUAAACAUAAAAAACGAAUAUAACGCGUGGUCAAAGAAAGAUUCGAAUGAACAAUCGGAUGAGGAGGAGUUACGAGAAGAUAGUAUUUUAAAUGUUAAUUAUAUUUAUAAAAAAAUUAAAAAAUCAAAAAAUUAUAUAUCGGCUGACAAUGUUGACAUUUGCAUCAGGAACUAUUUAUAUAAUAUAGAUAAAAAAAAUUAUCCUAUUUAUAAAGAACUAACAAAAAAACGUACAUGUGAUAUUCGAAAAGGUGAUAGAAGAAAGGAUCCAAUAAAAAAAAAAAAAAAAAAAAAGGAUGUUAUCAAAUUUUACGAACGUUUCGAACGUACAAAAAGGAGCACCAAGGGCUUAGAACAUAUACCAAAUAAGAUAAAAAAUAAAAAUAUAAACAAAAAGUGGAUAUUCAGUUUGAAAAAUAAAGUUUCAUAUAAAGCAAAAUUUUCUGAAAAUAAUGAAAUCGAACUUAAAAAAAUAAACA